UACGUAGGGCGCAAGCGUUAUCCGGAAUUAUUGGGCGUAAAGAGCUCGUAGGCGGUUUGUCGCGUCUGCCGUGAAAGUCCGGGGCUCAACUCCGGAUCUGCGGUGGGUACGGGCAGACUAGAGUGAUGUAGGGGGGAGUGUGAAUUCCUGGUGUAGCGGUGAAAUGCGCAGAUAUCAGGAGGAACACCGGUGGCGAAGGCGGUUCUCUGGGCAUGAUCUGACGCUGAGGAGCGAAAGUGUGGGGGAGCGAACAGGG
rnacentral:rRNA from 1 species